rnacentral:lncRNA from 10 species
AUAUGAACGGAACACACAAAAGAAGGGCACAUAUCUCAGUAGUUAGUAAGAAAAUAGAGAUAACAUUUUUCAUAACUACAGAAUGAUGACAAAGAAUAAAAUGACAGUGCCAAGAUGGAGGCUCCGAUAAUCAUUUUUCUAAAUUUACAGUUUUGUACGAUCCUGGAAAUCUCUUCAGUAAUCAGAUUUUUACAUUGUUCAUUUUUUAACUGUUUAAAGAAAAAUUUCU